rfam:Ochotona princeps cont2.55277, whole genome shotgun sequence.
CACCGUUUCAGUGGCAUUUAAGUCCCGGCGCUCCUCGGUCUAGGUGACGCGCAGUCGCCCCCCCAGGCGGCCCAGGAGGCGGCAGAAGCUGCGGUGGCUGCCAACGCAGCUUCACAGCUCUGGG